rnacentral:tRNA from 2 species
CGGGAUGUAGCUCAGCCCGGUUAGAGUACUCGUCUGGGGGGCGAGUGGUCGCUGGUUCGAAUCCAGUCAUCCCGACAA